GGACAGGAGUGAGUGCCAGCAGAGGAGAUGGGGGGAGGUCCAACCUCAGCACCAGCGUUCCUCUGUCGUCUUCUUCUACAGCCACUGAAGGUGAAGGUGUUCAGCUACUCAAGGAGUAAACUCUAAGAACGAUAAGACGGAACGGACGGACGCGGGAGGUCCGCGUCCUCUCAUGGAGCUGCUCCUCCCAUUGUUAGCCGCACAGCUGCAGCCUUGUUUUGGAGACACUCGGUGUCCUUGGACUGAUCGGUGGACACUCGUCUCCACAGAUAAAGUCAAGGUACACUGGACCCACACAUCUUCAGCGAGGAAUGAAAAGAACUGUUCACUCCUUUCUGUUUUCGGAGGAUGAUGAACAACGUUUGGCCGUUAUUACAAGUACUUUCUUUUGGUGGCGCUCAAGUGAACAUCUCCAAUUUGGGAAUAAAAACUUUACAUGAAUGUUCUCUGCAAAUAUGUGAGUGAUUAAACCCUGAUUUAAUCAGGACUAGGGAUUAAAAAAAAAGGCAUCUGCAACACAACUCAGUUGACUUUCAUCUUAACCUCUAAACAGACCUUCACUGUUUUACAUCAAGACCUUCCAAUUAUUUGGCUGCAGGUUCAAAAAGGGAUUUUCUCUUACAUCACGCCUCUGGUCUGGACUGAACUAGUCUGGUGUAAGCAUUGAAUCCAAUUAUUACUGUAUAUUUUAAACAGUUUUAGAUUCUGUAAACAGUUUGGAGUUUUUUUUACUCUUAUUUGAUUUCUGUUAUAUAUUAUUAAGGACUUCACCAGAGAAAUUAACAUUUUAACAUAAAAAGAGAAACUAGUUCAGACUGUAGCGGCUCUACGUUACUUAAUUAUUAAAAACUAUAGUCUACAUUAUAAGACAAAAGACACAGCAAAACAAAAUUCAAAUAUUAUACGAAACAUUUUAAUUAUUAAUUAUAAAACGCAGAAAAAGAACAACUGGUUUCAUCUGAACAUCAAAGCACCAACACCAAACAGAAACCAUGGAACCCAGAGCCUUUGGGAGAAACAGCCGUGUUGUUAUUGUACCUCACACCUGCCCCGGCUGCCCCACUGAGAGAUCAUCACCCACAGCUACUGUAGUCAACUCGCCCCCUCUCACCCAGAACACAGUAAGGCCAGUGAUCUCAGCUGAUAGACAGAAACUGAGGCAUCUGUGAGACGAGGAAGCUGCGCGUCGUAGCUGUUUCACAGCAUCUCAUUGAAAAGCUGGAUUUUUCCCUGCGGAGGCUGGAUGUAUGGCUCAGUGAGAAAAAGUCGGAGAUCUGACAAGGCAGCUGGUUAAUUUGAUUUCAUUUAAUGAGAACUUCGUCCUGAUCCCAAGUUGGACCGAAGACAGGUUUGAUCAUGCUGUGUGACAAUGAAUAUGUCCAGAGCAGUUUGCAGUGGAUCAAUUAGAUCAGCCACCUGGGGAGUUCCUGAGUUAAUACCUUUGGCAGGUUUUUUUUUUAAUGCCAACAGUGUUGGCUGUGAAUAAUCUGCCGAUAAUGAAGCAGGAUGGAGUUUGCUGGAGAACUGCAUAGAAGACGUUCAGAUCCAUGAUAAAGCACCAGAUAUCAGUGUAAGCACCUUGGAAAACUAGUCGAUGUCUGACAUGAGAUUACACUGCACGUUGUCAUAAACUGUUCUCACUUGCACAUACACCACAGCGCCCCAACAGGUCAGCGAAAGCUACACAUGACAGAACCGAUGGUCCAGAAAACAGCCAGCCAAACUCCUGUUGAGGGUUUUUUUUAAAAGAAAUAAAAAACAAAGAAAAAUAAACCUGCAGAGAGCAAUGGAAAUAGCUGCAAUUUCCUUGAUUUAAGUGAAGGAGAGCACCACACCAUCUGUCCAACUGUAGAAAGUAUUACAAAAAAGUCCGAUGGAGUCUGAAGACAGGAGUCAAAGCGUUACAUGUGGCUGCAGUUGUAUCAAACAUCCAAGAAUAGGAAAAUCAUAACAGCAUCCACUAGAAUAAUUACAAAGGAGCUCAGUGCUGGUCAUUAACAGACUCUAUCGUCUCUAAACAUGUUCUAGAAAGACUGUUCUUUUCACGUGGACACGUUCGUGUUAACAACGUUGAGUGCAGAAGACAGUUUGACAUAAAGCUUUGAUUAUUAAUUCAACUCUCCCUUAGAUAUGCACCGUUAAGGAAAACACACACACACACAGAGUCAUACAUACAUACAUAUACACACACACACACACACACAUACAUACA